GAACGCUGGCGGCGUGCCUAAUACAUGCAAGUCGAGCGGACCGACGGGAGCUUGCUCCCUUAGGUCAGCGGCGGACGGGUGAGUAACACGUGGGUAACCUGCCUGUAAGACUGGGAUAACUCCGGGAAACCGGGGCUAAUACCGGAUGCUUGAUUGAACCGCAUGGUUCCAAUCAUAAAAGGUGGCUUUUAGCUACCACUUACAGAUGGACCCGCGGCGCAUUAGCUAGUUGGUGAGGUAACGGCUCACCAAGGCGACGAUGCGUACCGACCUGAGAGGGUGAUCGGCCACACUGGGACUGAGACACGGCCCAGACUCCUACGGGAGGCAGCAGUAGGGAAUCUUCCGCAAUGGACGAAAGUCUGACGGAGCAACGCCGCGUGAGUGAUGAAGGUUUUCGGAUCGUAAAACUCUGUUGUUAGGGAAGAGCAAGUACCGUUCGAAUAGGGCGGCACCUUGACGGUACCUAACCAGAAAGCCACGGCUAACUACGUGCCAGCAGCCGCGGUAAUACGUAGGUGGCAAGCGUUGUCCGGAAUUAUUGGGCGUAAAGCGCGCGCAGGCGGUUUCUUAAGUCUGAUGUGAAAGCCCCCGGCUCAACCGGGGAGGGUCAUUGGAAACUGGGGAACUUGAGUGCAGAAGAGGAGAGUGGAAUUCCACGUGUAGCGGUGAAAU
rnacentral:rRNA from 1 species